GGGUACCCCCUCCCAGCGCUGAGUACCCAGACCUCCGAAAGCACAACAACUCCAUGGCCGGUCACCUGACCCCAGCAGUCUAUGCCGGCUCUGCGACAAAGACCACACCACUGGUUGGACGUUAGAUCAGUGUAUCCAGACUGGCGUGGACAACCUGGCCACCCUUCAUCAAGACUGUGGGCAUGGUGGCUGGAGAUGAGGAGGACCUAUGGAGGUAAUUUGCUGACCUGUUUGACCUGUGAUCACAGAGCGACACAUGGAUAUGACCCGGACAAUGAAGCACCACGGAUCUGGAUGCCAGUAAAAUCCGUUCUGGCUACUUUGAUGAGAGGUAUGUAUUGUCCUCUAGAGUCAGAACUGGCCGAAGCAUCCGAGGACUCAGUCUGCCUCCAGCUUGCACUCGAGCAGAGCGACGGGAGGUGGAACGUGUUGUGGUGGAUGCACUGAGUGGCCUGAAGGGUGACCUGGCUGGACGUUACUAUAGGCUCAGUGAGAUGACAGAGGCUGAACAGCAGCAGCUGAUUGAUGACCACUUUCUGUUUGAUAAGCCUGUGUCCCCAUUGCUGACUGCAGCAGGAAUGGCUCGAGACUGGCCAGAUGCUCGUGGAAUUUGGCACAACAAUGAGAAGAGCUUCCUGAUCUGGGUGAAUGAGGAGGAUCAUACACGGGUCAUCUCCAUGGAGAAGGGUGGCAACAUGAAGAGAGUGUUUGAAAGAUUCUGCCGAGGCCUCAAAGAGGUGGAGAGGAGAUUAUGCCAGAAACGUGCGCUGGGAGUCAUGUGUGAAUGAGCGUUGGGAUCACUCUUGACCGUCCAUCUAACCUGGGCACUGGACUUCGGGCAGGAGUGCACAUCAAACUGCCCCUGCUCCUGGUCAUCGAUGGGUAGAACUAUUUGAUUGAUUGUGAAACGGCGUCUGGAGAGAGGCCAGGAUAUUCCCGAUCCCACACCUGUCAUCACACACCAAGCAUUAACUCCCCCACCAACUGAUGUCUCAAUGGUCCAGGAGUUCUGCUCAUUCUAAUGAUGGCCCUUUCUACUUGCUCUGGACCUGCCCCCGCAUCCCCUGCCUCCAUCCUAGUAAAGACUCCUUGCUAUGCUGCA